rnacentral:rRNA from 1 species
UACGUAGGUGGCAAGCGUUAUCCGGAUUUACUGGGUGUAAAGGGCGUGUAGGCGGGAGCGCAAGUCAGAUGUGAAAUUCCAGGGCUCAACCCUGGACCUGCAUUUGAAACUGUGUUUCUUGAGUGAUGGAGAGGCAGGCGGAAUUCCCUGUGUAGCGGUGAAAUGCGUAGAUAUAGGGAGGAACACCAGUGGCGAAGGCGGCCUGCUGGACAUUAACUGACGCUGAGGCGCGAAAGCGUGGGGAGCAAACAGGAUUAGAUA